CACCGCUAAGGUGCAGAUGCACUAUUGUCCCAAUGAUCAGUUUUGGUGGCCAAAAGCUAAUUUUUAAAAGUUAAAACCAAGACUCGGACACUUACGAAAAAUCUGAUGUGAAACCUAGCUGUCAUUAUUGCACAGAAUGUGCAGGGAAAAAGUACCAAUUUUAUUUCUGUUUUAAAUAUCUCAUAAAUUGGAAAAUACGAUUAACUGAUCCAAUUUUUUUGAUGCAUUUUAUUUAGUAGGAUUUUUACUACGUGUUCUGUAAUGUGAACGAUAUCUAGUGGUUGGCGAUGUCUUCUACAUCUAGAUGUAGUCCUGAGUGCCGGGUAUAAAAGUUGUGACACGUAAGAAGCGUCUCACACGUCCCUUCUCGUUUUUUACUACUUUUACCACGUUCUUUCUCAACAAUAUGCCAAAAUACACACAUCCAUAAACUAUUCCCUUGGGCACCCAAUAAGAAAGGCAGUAUGUAAUUCAAAAAGAAAUCAGAUUGGAGCCGUACUUUAAUCCCAAACCAUUAUUCUUUAUGAGAUGUUCUGUCAAAUCAUG
rnacentral:lncRNA from 1 species